rnacentral:tRNA from 1 species
UCUUCCGUAGUAUAGUGGUCAGUAUGUGAGCUUGUCAUUGGUCAACGCUCGAGACCCGGGUUCAAUUCCCGGCGGGAGAG